rfam:Gossypium hirsutum cultivar TM-1 chromosome 6, whole genome shotgun sequence
UAUUAAAAAUUUCAUCAAUUUUUACUAUUAAAAACUAGCGUGACGGAUAGAAUAACUAGACAAUUACAUGUAGCAUACAACGUAUACCUUAUUCUGACUUACAAGGACCAGUUUUUAACAGUAGAAAUGGAUAGAAUUUUUAACA